rnacentral:rRNA from 1 species
CAAGUCGAACGGGAUCCAUGAGGUAGCAAUACAUCGGAAGAUCUAGUGGCGAACGGGUGAGGAUCACGUGGGAAACCUGCCCCAGACUCUGGGAUAACAAUUGGAAACGAUUGCUAAUACCGGAUGACGUCGGAGAACCGCAUGGUUCACUGACGAAAGAUAUUUCGGUUUGGGAGGGUCUCGCGGCCUAUCAGCUUGUUGGUGGGGUAAUGGCCUACCAAGGCAACGACGGGUAGCUGGUCUGAGAGGAUGAUCAGCCACACUGGGACUGAGACACGGCCCAGACUCCUACGGGAGGCAGCAGUGGGGAAUCUUGCGCAAUGGGCGAAAGCCUGACGCAGCAACGCCGCGUGCGGGAUGAAGGCCUUCGGGCUGUAAACCGCUUUCAGCAGGAACGAAGAUGACGGUACCUGCAGAAGAAGGAGCGGCCAACUACGUGCCAGCAGCCGCGGUGACACGUAGGCUCCAAGCGUUGUCCGGAUUUAUUGGGCGUAAAGAGCUCGUAGGCGGUUUAGUAAGUCGGGUGUGAAAACUCUGGGCUUAACCCGGAGACGCCAUCCGAUACUGCUAUGACUUGAGUUCAGGAGGGGAGCGGGGAAUUCCUAGUGUAGCGGUGAAAUGCGCAGAUAUUAGGAGGAACACCGGUGGCGAAGGCGCCGCUCUGGACUGAAACUGACGCUGAGGAGCGAAAGCAUGGGUAGCAAACAGGAUUAGAUACCCUGGUAGUCCAUGCCGUAGACGGUGGGCACUAGGUGUGGGUUCCAUCUAACGGGAUCCGCGCCGGCUCUAACGCAUUAGGUGGCCCGGCGGGGGAGUACGGGCGGAGAUGAGACUCAUUCGAAUUGACGG